rnacentral:rRNA from 1 species
UACGAAGGGGGCUAGCGUUGUUCGGAAUUACUGGGCGUAAAGCGCACGUAGGCGGAUUGUUAAGUCAGAGGUGGAAUCCCGGAGCUCAACUUCGGAACUGCCUUUGAUACUGGCAAUCUCGAGUCCGGAAGAGGUUAGUGGAAUUCCCAGUGUAGAGGUGAAAUUCGUAGAUAUUGGGAAGAACACCGGUGGCGAAGGCGGCUCUCUGGACCGAUACUGACGCUGAGGCGCGAAAGCGUGGGGAGCAAACAGG